UACAGGGGGUGCAAACGUUGCUCGGAAUUAUUGGGCGUAAAGCGCACGUAGGCGGUUUGUUAUGUCGGAUGUGAAAGCCCUUGGCUCAACUGAGGAAGUGCAUCCGAAACUGGCAAGCUAGAGUAUGUAAGAGGGUCGCGGAAUUCCCGGUGUAGAGGUGAAAUGCGCAGAUAUCAGGAAGAACACCCGUGGCUAAGGCGGCUCUCUAGUACGGUACUGACGCUGAGACGCGAAAGCGUGGGGAGCGAACAGG
rnacentral:rRNA from 1 species